rnacentral:rRNA from 1 species
AUGGAUAAAAUUCCGCCGGAGACGAGGGCCAUCUACGAUCUGCUCCGAGCCGAUUUCGACCGAGCCGACCGCGAUCGCGUCGACUCCACGGCGCAAGCGAUCGCGCGGCUCGACGCCAAGCUCGACCUCCUCUCAGGCCGCAUCGACGAGGUCAAGGUGUUGAUCGGCGUCGACAUCGAUGAGCUGCGGCAGGGGCUCGACCACUCUGCUCCACCGCCGUCGGAGCCCCAUCGAGGCGCGCCGGCCACACCAUCACGAGGGCCGAGCAGCAGUUCCAAUAGCUCCGAAGGGCACCGCGCCCACGCUGAAAACCACGGGCAGGGGCAACGCUAUGUUCCACCCACAGUCAGAGGUAUGCAGUUCGACCAGACUCUGCAGAGAGUGCCGUUCAAUUCGAUCGAAAAUUUUCGGCCAACCGCUUCUGAUGUCUACGGGUUUGGUCCUCGUAUCGAGCUUCCUCGUUUCGAUGGUUCCAAUCCCAAACUCUGGCAGACACGCAGCGAGGAUUACUUCAGAUUCUGGAACACACCAACGAACCAGUGGAUAUCUCUCGCUACGUCCUUGUUUGAAGGCCCAGCAGCUCGAUGGUUGGAGUCCGUUCGUCGGCGUGUACCCAAUGCAACCUGGGAUGAGUUUUGCAGGCUGCUGCAUAACAGAUUCGGCCAUAAUUUGCAUCAGUCUAUUCUGAGGAAGUUCUUCAGUAUAUAA